rnacentral:rRNA from 1 species
CACGCUGUAAACGAUGAUAACUAUAUGUUGGCGAUAAAAUGUCAGUGUAGGAGAGAAAUUGAUAAGUUAUCCACCUGGGGAGUACGACCGCAAGGUUGAAACUCAAAGGAAUUGACGGGGGCCCGCACAAGCGGAGGAGCAUGUGGUUUAAUUCGAUGAUACGCGAGGAACCUUACCUAGACUUGAACGUAAGAGUAAUAUAUAAGAGAUUAUGUAGCUAGAAAUAGAUUCUUACGAGGUGC